AAAAGCUUUAUUCUAGCUUUUUAGCUUGGUUUAUAGUUAUAUUACAUGCGAGGUUUUAUUUAGACAUCAUUUUGUGCAGUAAUUAGGUUUAUUUAUUAAGGAGAUUUAGAAUUAGGCAUCUAUAAUUACACAGACUAAUCUUGUGCCAGCAGUUGCGGUUAGACAUGAUGUGUUUCUAAUUUUUUUUUGGUUGAUAAUUAUCUUUUUGGUUUUUUAGGAUUUUAUUUAUAUAAGGUGAAAUUUUAUAGGUGGAUUAUAUUUGUUUUCAUGAGAGAGGUUAUGAAAUUUUAGAUUUAAACUAGGAUUAGAUACCCUAUUAUUUAAAAUGUUAAUUUGUUGACUCCAGAGUAGUAUUAGAAGUGCUUGAAAUUUAAAGGAUUUGGCGGUGUUUUAGUCCAUUCAGAGGAACCUGUCCUGUAAUUGAUAAUCCACGAUUAAUUUUACUUUAUUUUUUAGUUUGUAUACCGUCGUUAUUUGAAUAUCUUUUUAGGGAUUAAUGUUCAAGAUUUAGGAUAAUAAAAUAAAUCAGAUCAAGGUGCAGUUUAUAGUGAAGUAGAGAUGGGUUACAUUAAAUUUAUUUAUGGUUUAUAUUAUGAGAUUUAUAUAUUAAAUUGGAUUUGAGGGUAAAUUAAAUAAUUUAAUUUAUUUGAUUUUGGCUCUAUAACAUGUACAUAUCGCCCGUCGCUCCAGCCCUAAGGCUGGAUAAGUCGUAACAUAGUAGGUGUACCGGAAGGUGUACCUGGAAAGG
rnacentral:ncRNA from 1 species